rnacentral:rRNA from 1 species
UACGGGGGGAGCAAGCGUUGUUCGGAUUCAUUGGGCGUAAAGGGUGCGUAGGCGGCGCGGUAAGUCGGGUGUGAAAUCUUGGAGCUUAACUCCGAAACUGCAUUCGAUACUGCCGUGCUUGAGGACUGGAGAGGAGACUGGAAUUUACGGUGUAGCGGUGAAAUGCGUAGAUAUCGUAAGGAAGACCAGUGGCGAAGGCGGGUCUCUGGACAACUCCUGACACUGAGGCACGAAAGCUAGGGGAGCAAACAGG